GACGAACGCUGGCGGCGUGCCUAAUACAUGCGAGUCGAGCGGACGAUUCGAAAGCUUGCUUUUGAAUCGUUAGCGGCGGACGGGUGAGUAACACGUGGGCAACCUGCCCUGUAGACGGGGAUAACACCGAGAAAUCGGUGCUAAUACCGGAUAACACGAAAUGUCGCAUGACGUUUCGUUGAAAGGCGGCGCAAGCUGCCGCUACAGGAUGGGCCCGCGGCGCAUUAGCUAGUUGGUGAGGUAACGGCUCACCAAGGCGACGAUGCGUAGCCGACCUGAGAGGGUGAUCGGCCACACUGGGACUGAGACACGGCCCAGACUCCUACGGGAGGCAGCAGUAGGGAAUCUUCCGCAAUGGACGAAAGUCUGACGGAGCAACGCCGCGUGAGCGAAGAAGGCCUUCGGGUCGUAAAGCUCUGUUGUUAGGGAAGAACAAGUAACGUAGUAACUGACGUUACUAUGACGGUACCUAACGAGAAAGCCACGGCUAACUACGUG
rnacentral:rRNA from 1 species